GUCUCAGGUGGUGCUACGGGUCAGUGUGUCUGGCUGUUAACCAGAAGGUUGGUGGUUCGGGUCCACCCAGGGAUG